UACGGGGGGGGGUAAGCGUUGUUCGGAAUUACUGGGCGUAAAGGCUCGUAGGCGGCCAACUAAGUCAGACGUGAAAUCCCUCAGCUUAACUGGGGAACUGCGUCUGAUACUGGAUGGCUUGGAUUUGGGAGAGGGAUGCGGAAUUCCAGGUGUAGCGGUGAAAUGCGUAGAUAUCUGGAGGAACACCGGUGGCGAAGGCGGCAUCCUGGACCAAUAUGACGCUGAGGAGCGAAAGCCAGGG
rnacentral:rRNA from 1 species